ACGAAGUAGUAUUGUUCUGUUGCAAAAUAGCGUCCUGGUGCUCUAAAAUAAUGCCUUACCGGCAAUAAGUAAGCGAAACAUUGAAAACUAAAUACACAUAGUUUUCACGCAGUACUCAUCAAUGAAAUGAAAAGAUCGGUUAUAUACGAACCAGUAUUGUGCUGCUGCAAAAUUGCGUCCUGAUGCUUUGAAAUAACAUCCGACUGGCAAUAAGUAAGAGGAAAAUUGAAAAUUAAAUACACAUAGUUUUCACACAAUAAUCAUGAAUGAAACGGAGUGAUCGGUUAUAUACGAACCAGUAUUGUGCUGCUGCAAAAUUGCGUCCCGGUGCUUUGAACUAGCAUCCUACCGGCAGUAAGCA